AAAUAUUUAACUGUUAUUUACAGAAGGUGACAUUUCAAAAGGCCCGAGAACACUCUGUCAAGACAGCCCGCUUGCCAAUCCAGGAAUACAUGGUCAGACGCCAGAAUGAGAAAAACUAUCAUUCAGAGAUAUUGGCCAUCAAUCAAGUAUUUGAUAUCCUGUCCACCUACUUUGAGACUCAAAACUGGCCUGAAGCAUUGAAGAAAGGAGUUUCUUCCAGAAAAGGCUAUGUUCUUCAGAACUCAGUGGAAUGAUGGACAGCCUAAGAGUGCACCUGCAGGAGGUGAAGUUGCUGGAGGGGCCUUGACCAAAGAGGAGAGCAAAGUGGUGAUGGCACACACUUGCCUUUACUUGACAUCUCGGAUCUUCAUUAGGAUGUUAUUAAUAACAGGGACCACAUUUUAUGCUCUUUUGUAUCUCCUAUAGUGCCUAGCUCACAGGAAGUGCCCUGUUUAUCUUGACUAAGUAAAAAGUUUACAUAACAAGGAAUUAGCCCUUAAACUACAUGGCUUUGGGUGUGUUAAUUUAUUUUUCUACAUCUACUUGUAAAAAAUCUACUCUUUAGAGGUAGCUUAAAUAAUUAAAUAUUGUGAUAUCAAGAAUUUAAUUUUCACUAAA